UCCAAUUUUCUGAGGUUUGUGUUCAGAUGCAUCUUAUACAGCCCAAUGAGUCUUGACCCUACAUAUAUAGGAUCCAUACCCUUAGAUGCAUAUGAUUUGGAUCAUGAAAAGUAAUUUCUUCAGCAUUUGCAUGAAAGCUUUCUCCAAAGUGUCUUCAUUUUUGAGACUCUGAAUUACGUCUGUCAUUAUUACAAUAACUGCUGGUAAAGUAAACGCAGCUCCCACUUCUUUUACGCAGGCUUAUUAUUUAUAGAGCCAAAAACACACAUUGUAGUUUAAAGCCCCAUCACAGUGAUAGAGCAGAAUGCUAUGACAAAGGUUGUUUGGAUUCUGGGCCACUACUUGACUAAGUAAUUUGUAUAAUAGCAAUUAGAUAGCAAACUUAAAAUUCCUUCAUGCCUAUUUAAGAAGCCCAGUUAGGGGUUGUUUUGCCUUAGUGGGCUUACACUUUCUUUAAGCAAUGCUACUUGGUAACAAUGAGUCUUUUUUCCUCAUGUUGUCAGACAAAGUGAGAAGAAAGCAUUUUCAGCUCCACAGGUUUUACAAGGGAGGCUGUGAGGUACUGAUGCUGCACACAAUUCACUAAACUUACAGCCCCUUAUCUCGCCUACCAGUCAAACAGGCUUUCAAAGAAAACAUUAAAAUCUCUAAAAGAGCAAGAGGUAGUUUUGGGCAACAGGGCAUGUCAAGUGAAAGAGAACUUAGUAACGAUAUAUGAUGUUUUUGUCAUCGUGUUUUCCUUUGAAAACACAAAGUGAUUGGAGCUCAGAGGGAGGAACUAAAAAUGUGUAGUUACAAGCAGCUGAGGGAACGUCUUUUACGUUGCUUAAGGCUAGAAGUAUUCUAUCUGUACACAGAGCAAAUAGCUCAAUGAGAACUAGAUGAGAAUCUUUCUGGUGACAGAUACUGCUUUUUCUCUGCCCCCUUUUCUCUGUUUUCUCUGCCCCCUUACUUUGAUUAUUGAUGUCAUUUGUUUGAUAGUUGACCUCUUAAUAUCCAAACUAAGCAAACGCUACCUUUUUUUAAUACAAUAAUCCCAAGAUCUCUACUGCAUAUAAAAAAUUUUAAAUACCUUUCUCUGACCUACAACUGUCCCUCAAAACCCACAGAUCAUUCCAGGAACCUCUCCCAGAUACCUAGGAUACUCCCUUGUAUCACUAUAUGUAGCUUCUUUAUACCCUCAUGUGUACUUUAAUAAUUUCUUGAUUACUUAUGAUACCCAACAUAAUGUAAAUGCUAUUAAAUUUCUAUAUAGUUGAGACUAUGGUUUAAGUCAGUGGUUUUCAACCUGUGAUUUGUGACCCCCCCCCAAGACAAUCAGAAAACACAGAUAUUUACAUUACAAUUCAUAACUGUAGCAAAAUUACAGCUAUGAAAUAGCAAAGAAUAGAAUUUUAUAGUUGUAGUCAACACAACACGAGGACACAGCAUUAGGAAAGUUGAGAACAUGGUCUAGGUGACAACAGCAACAACAACAACAACAAAAUGUAUGUGUUUCUUCCAGGCAAAAUUGCUUGUUGAAUAGUUUAGAUCUGCAGUUGACUGAGUUCAUGGGUAUGGGUCAGACAUAGAGGAAUGAUUGUGUCUGACACACUCAGCAGAAGCAUAACCCCAAAACUUGUUGGUCCAACUGUAAGUUAGGACUCCUUCUUUUGAUCAGAAAAUAUAUUGUUUGCUUAAGAGGAAUGAAUUCUCCAGCUGACAUGCUGACACCUCCAGAAUCUAGUUGUGAAUUUUCUUUCUUGUUUUAUUGGUUAAGUCACUUCAACUACACCCUUCGGUCCCAUGAAAGUAGUGAACAAGGCAUUUACACGGCCCCUCCUCCCUUCUCAUUGUUGCAUUUUGUUGAGGUAUUAACUCCCGUUAUAGAAAUGUCAUACUUCCCCCAUCCAAAUCCUUACUCCUUGCUAAGAAACACCAAAUGUCAAUUUCUAGGAACACCAUAGAGCCCACAUGUUUUAUCCAUAUAUACUUACUACAACCUCUUUUAUGAUGUGACCAUUACGUCAAAUUCUGUGUACCUAGGUUUCUAAGGCUACUAUUUUAUUUGAGAACCAUGUAGGCUUGAAGCCUGGAUAUGUCCAGAUUAAAAUGUAUUACACCUUUUUUUUUUUUAACAGAAGACUAUGUUAAAACCAAGAAAUUUUACAGCUUAUCUUGACCUUUUCAUAGCCACUGACCUAGCAGACAAGAACUUUCUACUACUUGAACUGCAUAGGAUCAAUAUAAAUUCCAAAUUUCUAUUUAGAGUGAAGCUGAAUUUUUGUAUCAUCACCGUGGGCCCUGGUCCACUCUGCUCUUCUAGCCACUCUGCCUCUUGGCUGUUCCCACAUUUGGCCUUUUAUGUCCCUCUCAAAACCUUGCAUAGAAAAUAGGUUUCAAAAACUGUUAGCUAGACUUACAAGUGCUUAAGUUUUGCAGCUCUUUACAUCUUCUAUAUAUUAAACACCUAUAUGAGGUAGAACUGGCAAAGAUUUUACUCUUAAGUAGGAUACCUGUUCAAUCUGCUAGUAGUUUCCUCUGACGUAAGAAGCUCUUAAAUUUCUUGUAGUAAAAUGUCCUGAUUCUUGUGAUGACGUCUCAUGCCAUUGGGGUUCUAUUAAGAAAGUUAUGACUUAUACCUGUAUCUUGAAGUGCUUUCCUUUAGUAUUUUCAGGUUUUUAAUUAAACUUUUUGAUUCACUUUGGAGUAACUUGCUCCAGGUGAGAUGUAUGGGCUCAGUCUUGUUCUGCUGAUGGGUAUCAGGUUUAUCUAAGGGCUGUGUUAUAUCCAAUGUAUUUUAGACACCUUUGUUAGAAAUUAGUUGUCCAUCUCUUCAUGGGUUUAUUUUGGGUUCUCUUUUAUGUUCCUGUGGCCUAUAUGUGAGGAACCCCCUGUUUACUGAUUGUCAGUGUGUCAUCUUAUGCAAGCAGUAGUAAGAACACUGUGGUGCUUUCUCAAAAACAUGAAACUAAAAGUUUCAUAUAACAAAGCUACAACACUCCUGGACUUAUAUCCAAAGGACUUUAUACCCGACCAUAGACAUACUUGUAUAUCCAUGUGUAUUGCUGCUUUCUUUGUCCCUAUAUCUCUACAGUAUAACACAUUGUGGUGUUUCCCUUAGUAUUCCUUUUAAACAAACAAACAAAC
rnacentral:lncRNA from 1 species